rnacentral:ribozyme from 1 species
AGUCGCAAGCUCAGGCCAUAGCAGAAGUGCUUACAGUUCAGCCUUGUCAGAUUCCAAUGAAUCUGCAAAUUCUGCU